GUGUUCCCAACAUGCUUCAGCCGAAUCGUCUUUAUAAUUUGCAACCACCACAUUCACAUGAUAACAAUCAGGAGCAGCAGAUGCUUUACCAGCUGUUGCAUGAGAUGUCUAAAAACGGACCAAGUGUGCAACAUCAACAGCCUUUUCAGGUCAAAGUGGUGGUAACGGUAAUGCUGAGAGAAACCCAACUGCCUCCACUCCCAACAUCUCUGGAGGAGGAUGAGUUAGGUCCGCAACAACAGUUUUAAAGCAGCUACAAAUAACAACCUUCAUUUUUCAGAAAUCGGUUUCAGAACUAUCUCACAAUUUCUCAGAAUAUAGUCUUGAAAAGCAGCAUAUAUAUGGUGCCUUGUAAAAUCCCUACGGAACCAAGGCAUUGUUACGUUGACUUGACAUAGAGAAAGAGUUUUUAGGCUUACUUCUCUCACGUAGGUUGGUUUGGUCUUUGUAUAGAAACUAGACAUAUGUGACCAGUCAAGGAAAUUGUGAUUUGUUGUAACCCAUAUAAGCAUUUUAGCACCUUUUUUUUCUUAUUUUGGUGAUUGUAUGAUGAAUUCUUAGAUUAUAACAUUUUCAAGUAAUCUUAGGGGUGAUUAGUUGGUUUAUAACAAGUGUUUAUAGUUUCAAUUUAUACUUACAAAUCAUAAAAAUUAACUCAUACUUUAUUUAGGUUUUAAAACUACAAAAUAACUGUAUAAACCCUAUUUUCUAUAACAUUUUUUAAUAAAUUGUAAAAAUAUAUUGUUAGGUAAAAUUUCCACCGUUAUGCCCCAACCAAUCAUCUACUUAUUAUUUCUAUGCUUUUUAUGGCAAUAUGUUUAUAGAAAAUAGUUUUAAGGGUUAUUGACUACUGAAGUUUAGUGGAUUCCAAAAGGAAAAUUACAUCUUAUGACUAAAAAAUAAAGUGUAAUUAAGAAUGUAACUAAAAAAAUAAAAAGUCUCUAAUAUUUCUAAAAUAUAUACUAUAUUAUCCUUACUUAUCGGUUGAAAAGAAAAAAAACAUAUUUUCUUUCAUUAGCAAUCACCAACACCGCCUCCUCCAUAAUAAUAUCAACCACCACUUCUUCACCAACCACAUCUUUCUUUGUAACCACUAUCACCUUUUCGUAAUCACAAUCACCUCUUCCGUAAUCACCUGGCCACCACCAUCAUAGCCACCGCAGUCACGACCACCAUGAAAAGACAAUUAAUUGUUCUGAAAAGAGAAAGUUAGUUGCUAGUCGCCAAAAAAAUAUAGCCAUCUUCCUCGAUGAUGACGAUCAAACGAGGGGAGAUGAAAAUCUAGGUGAAUCAUGUGAGAAUUCUAGUGAUUAAUUAUUUUACGGCUCAACAAGCGACAGUGAAAAUCAGAAUUUAUGCAGUAUAUUCUAUUUUAUAUUACUCAUCUACAUAAAAUAGAAAUGUAACUUUGCAAUGUAUCCUCCUUCCCCUCCUGCUCUUUUGUCUCUAAUAAUUUUUAUCUUUCAUAAUAAUUAUUAAAGAUAAUAUAGUUACUAUUCUAUUUUACUGCCCAAAUUUAAUAUACUAUUCUCUUUUGUUGUAUUCAAUUAUAUUUGGAAUUUAUAGAAUAGAAUGUAGUUGAUAAUAUCUAUUUUUCCCUCUUUUCCUAUCUUCAUCUUCUCCUCAUCAUCGCCCUCUUCCUCCUCUUUCCUCCUCCUCCUUCCUCCUCCUCCUUUUUCUCUUCCUUUGCUUCUUCAUCCUUCUACUCCAUAUAAUCGGAUCCAUUAGGUUUAAACUUUCUUCUUGUAUAAAGAUUAUUUUUCUAUGUACAUGCAUCUUGUCAUCCACCAUUAACAUGGCCAUCACCACCACAACAGUUACCUCUGUUACAAAAAACCACAUCUUCCUUUAUAUUCACAAUCGCCGCUUCCUCCAAUCACCACAGUCAUCGUUUCUUCGAAGUAGAGGCAACUUUAUGGGUUGAGGCGCAAACUACUGAUUUGAGGAUACAAGGAGAUGUUUAUCUUGUUGAACAAGAUCACCAAGAUAAUAUUGCGGGUUGGUGUUAUCUAGAUGGCUCAUGGAAGGAACUUGAUAAAUUUUUGGGUCAAGGAUGGUUUUCUUUUACAGGGGAGACAUCUAGUAAGAUCAUGGGAUUGAUGACAAUACGUCACAACCUAUCACCUUUACAUGCUGAAUGUAAAGCCUUGAUAUGAGUUAUGGAAUGCAUGAAGAUUCUACAGUUCACUUAGGUAAUGUUUGCAACAAAAUGUUCUCAAUUGGUGAAGAUAAUGUCUACACCGACUGAAUGGCCAGUUUUUGCACCCCUUUUGGACGAAAUACAACAAUGUAAGGCGUUUUUUCUUCAUUUCUCACUCCAGCAUAUUUUCAAAGCAAAAAAUAUAAUGGCAGACAAACUUGUAUGAAGUGCUCAAAACUGCCUUUCAGCUGUGUACUAUGUUGGUUCUUCAACUCCAGUUUGAACUUCUGAUCUGGCUUCAAAUAUAUGAUAGAUAUUAUAUUGCUA